UACGGAGGGAGCUAGCGUUGUUCGGAAUUACUGGGCGUAAAGGGCGCGUAGGUGGCCUGUUAAGUCGAACGUGAAAUCCCCGGGCUCAACCCGGGAACUGCGUCCGAGACUGGCAGGCUCGAAUCCGGGAGAGGGAUGUGGAAUUCCAGGUGUAGCGGUGAAAUGCGUAGAUAUCAGGAGGAAUACCGGUGGCGAAAGCGACUCUCUGGACGGUUACUGACGCUGAGGCACGAAAGCGUGGGGAGCAAACAGG
rnacentral:rRNA from 1 species